UACGUAGGGGGCAAGCGUUGUCCGGAUUUAUUGGGCGUAAAGAGCGUGUAGGCGGCCUGUUGCGUCUGCUGUGAAAACUCGGGGCUUAACCCCGAGCCUGCAGUGGAUACGGGCAGACUAGAGGUAGGUAGGGGAGAAUGGAAUUCCCGGUGUAGCGGUGAAAUGCGCAGAUAUCGGGAGGAACACCGGUGGCGAAGGCGGUUCUCUGGGCCUUACCUGACGCUGAGGUGCGAAAGCGUGGGGAGCAAACAGG
rnacentral:rRNA from 1 species